rnacentral:misc_RNA from 1 species
AAAAGGAAGGAUGAAGAAUAUGAAAGCGAUGAAAAUGGAAAUGAUGAUGAAGAUCCCGGAACUCAGAAGAAACCUCGUGUAGUUUGGGCUAUAGAGCUUCACAAGAAGUUUGUUACAGCAGUUCAUCAGUUAGGCCUUGAAAAAGCUGUGCCUAAGAGGAUUCUUGAUCUGAUGAAUGUUGAAGGACUUACAAGAGAGAAUGUGGCGAGCCAUCUCCAGAAGUAUAGGCUCUUCUUGAAAAGGAUCAAUGCGGCAGAUGCCCAGCAAGCCAACUUGGCUGCCGCUGCAUUAGGGGGUAAAGAUUCUGCAUACAUGCGAAUGGGUUCACUGGACGGGCUUGGUGGUUUUCGAACGUUGGCUGGAUCAGGUAGGUUCGGUCAAGCUAGCUUAUCAUCAUCAUAUGCAUCAGGAGGCAUGCUUGGCAGACUAAAUAGUCCUUCUGGUGUAAGCCUUCGCAAUCUAGCAUCUACACCUAUUCUCCAACCUAAUCAUGGUCAAAAUAUGAGUAAUAACUCCCUCAAUGCCUUGAUGAAAUUUAACGCAAAUGUUCCACCUGCUAGCCAGAAUGCUAAUUUUUUCCAAGGGAUUCCUGCAUCGUUGGAGCUUGAUCAACUGCAGCAGAGUAAGUGUGCCACACACAUAGGAGAGUUGAAUCCUUUGGAUGAGUCAAGACUGCAUACAGUGGCCAGUACAUUCACGAACUCUAGAUUGGUUGGUAGCGCAAACAGCUCUAUGCCCAAUGUAUCAAAUAAUCCUAUUUUGCUUCAAGUAAAUUCCCAGCAACCACUGACGGGGAUGGGAUUUGGAAAUCAGACUUCUCUCAACGUAGCCUCUUUUAGCUCUGAGGCCUUCAAUACUG